rnacentral:rRNA from 1 species
UAUUGCGCAAUGGAGGCAACUCUGACGCAGUGACGCCUCGUAUAGGAAGAAGGUUUUCGGAUUGUAAACUAUUGUCCUCAGGGAAGAAAAAAGACUGUACCUGAGAAGAAAGCUCCGGCUAACUACGUGCCAGCAGCCGCGGUAAUACGUAGGGAGCAAGCGUUAUCCGGAAUUAUUGGGUGUAAAGGGUGCGUAGACGGGAUAACAAGUUGGUUGUGAAACCCCUCGGCUCAACUGAGGAACUGCAACCAAAACUAUUAUUCUUGAGUGCAGGAGAGGAAAGUGGAAUUCCUAGUGUAGCGGUGAAAUGCGUAGAUAUUAGGAAGAACACCGGUGGCGAAGGCGGCCUGCUGGACUGUAGCUGACGUUGAGGCUCGAAGGCGUGGGGAGCAAACAGG